rnacentral:rRNA from 1 species
AGCGAACGUUUGCGGCGGGCUUAACACAUGCAAGUCGAACGAGAAUCCCUUCGGGGAGGAAAGUGGCGCACGGGUGCGUAACACGUGGAUAACCAACCCAUUGGUUUGGGACAACACCGGGAAACUGGUGCUAAUACCAGAUGUGUCGCAGCUGUCUUCAGGCGGUUGCGAGAAAGGCCCGCAAGGGUCGCCAACGGACGGGUCCGCGUCCCAUCAGCUAGUUGGUGAGGUAAUGGGCUCACCAAGGCAAAGACGGGUAGCUGGUCUGAGAGGAUGAUCAGCCACACUGGAACUGAGACACGGUCCAGACUCCUACGGGAGGCAGCAGUGGGGAAUAUUGCGCAAUGGGCGAAAGCCUGACGCAGCCACGCCGCGUGAGCGAUGAAGGUCUUCGGAUCGUAAAGCUCUGUGGGGGGAGAAGAAGAAAGCCGGUGAAGAGCCGGCCCUGACGGUAUCCCCUUAGCAAGCACCGGCUAACUCCGUGCCAGCAGCCGCGGU